rnacentral:rRNA from 1 species
UACAGAGGGGGCAAGCGUUGUUCGGAAUUACUGGGCGUAAAGGGCGCGUAGGCGGCCUUCUAAGUCGAACGUGAAGUCCCUGGGCUCAACCCAGGAACUGCGUCCGAUACUGGAAGGCUUGAAUCCGGGAGAGGGAUGCGGAAUUCCAGGUGUAGCGGUGAAAUGCGUAGAUAUCUGGAGGAACACCGGUGGCGAAGGCGGCAUCCUGGACCGGCAUUGACGCUGAGGCGCGAAAGCCAGGGGAGCAAACGGG